rnacentral:sRNA from 1 species
UUGUGAGUUUAGAAGAACACCACGCGGACAUCUAAGUCUUUAGGGAAAGAGACUUUUAAUAACAGCUACUAGUGACACGU